CCUAGUUGAUCCUGCCAGUACUCAUAUGCUUGUCUCAGAGAUUAAGCCAUGCAAGUCUCAGUACAAGCCACAUUAAAGUGAAACCGCAAAAGGCUCAUUAAAUCAGUUAUGGUUCCUUGGAUUGUACAAUCCAUUACUUGGAUAACUGUGGUAAUUCUAGAGCUAAUACAUGCAAACAGAGUCCCGACCAGAAAUAGAAGGGGCGCUUUUAUUAGAUCAAAACCAAUCAACGUCAGUUUGCUUGCCAACUGCGCCGUACUCCUUGGUGACUCUGAAUAAGUUUUGGCAGAUUGCAUGGUCUCAGUACUGGCGACGCAUCCUUCAAAUGUCUGCCUUAUCAACUGUUGAUGGUAGGUUCUGCACCUACCAUGGUUGUAACGGGUAACAGGGAAUCAGGGUUUGAUUCUGGAGAGGGAGCCUGAGAAACGGCUACCACAUCAAGGAAGGCAGCAGGCGCGCAAAUUACCCACUCCCGGCACAGGGAGGUAGUGACGAAAAAUAACAAUACGGGACUCAUCCGAGGCCCCGUAAUUGGAAUGAGUAUACUCUAAAUCCUUGUACAAGUAUCAAUUGGAGGGCGAGUCUGGUGCCAGCAGCCGCAGUGAUUCCAGCUCCAAUAGCGUAUAUUAAAGUUGUUGCGGUUAAAAAGCUUGUAGUUGGAUCUGUGUCCUUCGACGCCGUUUCACUGCCUGUUGGUGCCAACUGGCGUUUUGCGGACGUCCUGUUGGUGGUGUGUCUGGAAUCUUGGUGUUGCUAUGCUCUGCUUAGUGCAGCUUUGGUUUUGGGCCACUUUCAUAAUCCUGCCGCGGUGCUCUUAAUCAAUGUCAAGGCGGGCCGGCAUGUUUACUUUGAACAAAUUAGAGUGCUUCAAGCAGGCUUGUCACGCCUGUAUACUGUGUGCAUGAAAUAAUGGAAUAGGACCCGGUUCUAUUUUGUUGGUUUCCAGAAUCUGAGGUAAUGAUCAAUGGGGACAGGCAGGGGCAUUCAUAUUGCGACGUUAGAGGUGAAAUUCUUGGAUUGUCGCAAGACCGACCGAAGUGAAAGCAUUUGCCAAGUAUGUUUCCGUCAAUCAAGAACGAAAGUUAGAGGUUCAAAGGCGAUCAGAUACCCAGGGUAUGCUCAAUGUGUAGGUCAGAGGAGAGAUACAGCAAUGGCUGAGGCUUCCUUGUGAUACCCCUGUUGCCUUCUUCCAUGCUGCGUGCGCACAUGGGGGGCUGAAAGUGCCCUCACUAGCAGCUUCUGUGCCGCAUCUGGUUUAUUUUAGGGUGCGGAAGUUGGCAGUCUCAUCGGCUCCUGUCUUUAAGGCAAUCUUUGGGACCCAACUUAUGCAGCGGCAGUUGAUGUGGGCACUGUCAGACGCCCGAAAGUUUGACCCUGCUUUCCCUGAGGCAACAGCACGACCACAGGACCUCCAUUUCAAGCUUGCCCUGCACACCUUGACCGACGGUUUUGAACUGCGGGAAGCGGGUUGAGCCCCAGCCUCUACCGCCUAGAUAAGAAAUGCCUCAACUGCAAUACUGGGUAUGGACUAUAUGGGGUAUGUGCAUGUGCUUAUCAAUGCACUGCCCUCACGUGUCCGUACCACGAGAAGCAAGCCCUAUGCCAAUGUUUGGUGUAGGGCAGGAUGUACCCAGGCGGAGUCUACAGCUCACUGCAUGCAGGUACACAUGGAGGUCGCACACUUUGUCAUGACGUGUUGGUCAAUACUGUUGCAGCCCAUCUGCAACAGAAGAAGCAGCCCACAUACGUGCCAAAAUCCAAUCUGGUCCUGCUGCAGAUG
rnacentral:rRNA from 1 species